UAAGCAUUGAUGCAAGUAUAAGUAUUAGAUAUUAGUUAGAUUAAUUUCUAACUAGAGUUUACUUUGUCACAUGGCAAUCUAAACCACGUGCGCCACCAAAGGUUCGAGUGACGGCCGGCGUUAGUACGACUCUGAGCGUUACGUCAUCGACCCCUGAGACAGGUCUGGCUUGGCGCGAGGAUGGGUGAAGGCUGUUGGAAUUGUCAGUUGGCUGUGUCUUCCCUAUGUCUCAUAUUUAUCUUUAUAUGCUUUGACUCUAUAAGAAUUUGAACUCCCUGCUAUAUGUCUUCACACAUAUAGUAACGCAUAUCGCUGCACAACUCUGAUGAAACUUUAUUUAAUUUGCUUAUGUCUGUAAUAUCUCAUAAGGGAAAUACUUCUUAAACCCUUGCUAAGUUUCAAAUGCUUAUUAUGUUCCACCCAAGCGAGUAAUU